rnacentral:rRNA from 1 species
UACGGAGGGGGCGAGCGUUAUUCGGAAUUAUUGGGCGUAAAGGGCGCGUAGGCGGCCUUGUAAGUCAAAGGUGAAAUCCCUCGGCUCAACUGAGGAACUGCCUUUGAAACUGCAAGGCUUGAGGCCGGGAGGGGGUAGCGGAAUUCCCAAUGUAGCGGUGAAAUGCGUAGAUAUCAGUCGGAACACCGGUGGCGAAGGCGGCUUCUUGGGCCGUUCCUGACGCUGAUGCGCGAAAGCUGGGGGAGCGAACGGG